AGUGAACGCUGGCGGUAGGCCUAACACAUGCAAGUCGAACGGCAGCACAGUAAGAGCUUGCUCUUACGGGUGGCGAGUGGCGGACGGGUGAGGAAUACAUCGGAAUCUACUUUUUCGUGGGGGAUAACGUAGGGAAACUUACGCUAAUACCGCAUACGACCUACGGGUGAAAGCAGGGGAUCUUCGGACCUUGCGCGAUUGAAUGAGCCGAUGUCGGAUUAGCUAGUUGGCGGGGUAAAGGCCCACCAAGGCGACGAUCCGUAGCUGGUCUGAGAGGAUGAUCAGCCACACUGGAACUGAGACACGGUCCAGACUCCCACGGGAGGCAGCAGUGGGGAAUAUUGGACAAUGGGCGCAAGCCUGAUCCAGCCAUACCGCGUGGGUGAAGAAGGCUUUCGGGUUGUAAAGCCCUUUUGUUGGGAAAGAAAAGCAGCAGGUUAAUACCCCGCUGUUCUGACGGUACCCAAAGAAUAAGCACCGGCUAACUUCGUG
rnacentral:rRNA from 1 species